ACAAAAGUGAUACAAUGAAACGUUUUAUUUUUCUCUAUACAUAUGAAGGUCCUGCUUUCUUUCAUUGAAUUCACUGCAAUAUGUCGAAUACAGGUCCAGCCACGUUGUCAUAUCUCGUACAGUCCUUUUUGUGAAGCUGCUCCAACGGAAGCGAUAGAUGACAGACAUUGUACGCGCCAGGGCACACAGCAUUCUGCUCGUUGUGGACAACGGCUGCAUCCUGCAAAGAACAAAAAUGUUGCAAAUAGUUAGUCACACGUGACAGCGAGGGUUAAGACGCACGCACAUUCCAAAUACGUGGAAGGUGAAAUAAAAAACACGUCUAAAAUAUUUCAUGCAAAUAAUUUCACAGUGAUGUCAUACGCCAUCAAAGACGCAUUUCAAGCCACAUAUCGCCACAGUUCAAGUGCGGCAGCUGCAGCCAUCACGCCGAGGCGCCGCCACCCGCCGUGCCCCACGAGCCGGCGAGUAUUCUUCGAGCGGCGUCGUACAGCUCGAGCAGGCUCGCAAGCCGCCGCAGCCCCGCAGCCGCCAGCGAAUCUCGAGCAGAACAGCGAGCGAACGCGGAGUCGCCGCCAUGAACGGCGCCGAGCUGCUUGCGAGCGAGCGUCGAGGAAGCCGACGGUAAUGGCGACCA
rnacentral:lncRNA from 1 species